GCUUAACACAUGCAAGUCGAGGGGCAGCAUGGUCUUAGCUUGCUAAGGCCGAUGGCGACCGGCGCACGGGUGAGUAACACGUGUCCAACCUGCCGUCUACUCUUGGACAGCCUUCUGAAAGGAAGAUUAAUACAAGAUGGCAUCAUGAGUCCACAUGUUCACAUGAUUAAAGGUAUUCCGGUAGACGAUGGGGAUGCGUUCCAUUAGAUAGUAGGCGGGGUAACGGCCCACCUAGUCUUCGAUGGAUAGGGGUUCUGAGAGGAAGGUCCCCCACAUUGGAACUGAGACACGGUCCAAACUCCUACGGGAGGCAGCAGUGAGGAAUAUUGGUCAAUGGGCGAGAGCCUGAACCAGCCAAGUAGCGUGAAGGAUGACUGCCCUAUGGGUUGUAAACUUCUUUUAUAAAGGAAUAAAGUCGGGUAUGCAUACCCGUUUGCAUGUACUUUAUGAAUAAGGAUCGGCUAACUCCGUGCCAGCAGCCGCGGUAAUACGGAGGAUCCGAGCGUUAUCCGGAUUUAUUGGGUUUAAAGGGAGCGUAGAUGGAUGUUUAAGUCAGUUGUGAAAGUUUGCGGCUCAACCGUAAAAUUGCAGUUGAUACUGGAUAUCUUGAGUGCAGUUGAGGCAGGCGGAAUUCGUGGUGUAGCGGUGAAAUGCUUAGAUAUCACGAAGAACUCCGAUUGCGAAGGCAGCCUGCUAAGCUGCAACUGACAUUGAGGCUCGAAAGUGUGGGUAUCAAACAGGAUUAGAUACCCUGGUAGUCCACACGGUAAACGAUGAAUACUCGCUGUUUGCGAUAUACAGCAAGCGGCCAAGCGAAAGCGUUAAGUAUUCCACCUGGGGAGUACGCCGGCAACGGUGAAACUCAAAGGAAUUGACGGGGGCCCGCACAAGCGGAGGAACAUGUGGUUUAAUUCGAUGAUACGCGAGGAACCUUACCCGGGCUUAAAUUGCAGAUGAAUUACGGUGAAAGCCGUAAGCCGCAAGGCAUCUGUGAAGGUGCUGCAUGGUUGUCGUCAGCUCGUGCCGUGAGGUGUCGGCUUAAGUGCCAUAACGAGCGCAACCCUUGUUGUCAGUUACUAACAGGUCAUGCUGAGGACUCUGACAAGACUGCCAUCGUAAGAUGUGAGGAAGGUGGGGAUGACGUCAAAUCAGCACGGCCCUUACGUCCGGGGCUACACACGUGUUACAAUGGGGGGUACAGAGGGCCGCUACCACGCGAGUGGAUGCCAAUCCCAAAAACCUCUCUCAGUUCGGACUGGAGUCUGCAACCCGACUCCACGAAGCUAGAUUCGCUAGUAAUCGCGCAUCAGCCACGGCGCGGUGAAUACGUUCCCGGGCCUUGUACACACCGCCCGUCAAGCCAUGGGAGCCGGGGGUACCUGAAGUGCGUAACCGCGAGGAGCGCCCUAGGGUAAAACUGGUGACUGGGGCUAAGUCAUAACAA
rnacentral:rRNA from 1 species